UACGUAGGUGGCAAGCGUUGUCCGGAUUUAUUGGGUUUAAAGGGUGCGUAGGCGGCCCGGUAAGUCAGUGGUGAAAGCCUCCAGCUCAACUGGAGAACUGCCAUUGAUACUGCCGGGCUUGAGUACAGACGAGGUUGGCGGAAUUGAUUGUGUAGCGGUGAAAUGCAUAGAUACAAUCAAGAACUCCGAUUGCGUAGGCAGCUAACUAGGCUGUAACUGACGCUGAGGCACGAAAGCGUGGGGAGCGAACAGG
rnacentral:rRNA from 1 species